CCAGUAAAAUAACUCCGACGUCGUCUUGAUCCAAAUUCUUCAGCUUAGAAUCUCCCUAAUUAAACCCUAAAUCCACCUGGGCUACAUCUUCAGUCACCAACUCACAACAACAUAGAAUGCUACAAUAAUCAACGGAUUUUUUUAACAUAAUAAUUCAAUACACAGUUGAUUAAAUAUGUCGACGGUGUAUGUGUUGGAACCGCCGACGAAGGGGAAGGUGAUACUGACAACGUCGUUCGGUCCACUGGACAUCGAGCUGUGGCCGAAGGAGGCGCCCAAGGCUGUCCGCAACUUCGUGCAGCUGUGCCUCGAAGGCUAUUAUGAUAAUACUGUUUUCCAUCGCGUCAUUAAGUCGUUUCUAGUACAAGGAGGUGAUCCCACCGGCACUGGAGAAGGUGGUGAGAGUAUAUACGGCAGUGCUUUUCCUGAUGAGUUUCAUUCUCGUCUAAGAUUUAAGCACAGGGGUUUGGUUGCAUGUGCUGGUGCUGGAGCAGCUAAUUCAAAUGGCAGCCAGUUCUUUAUAACCUUGGAUCGUUGUGACUGGCUUGACAAGAAGCAUACAAUAUUUGGAAAAGUAACUGGAGAUUCAAUAUUUAACCUCUUACAGUUAGGUGAAGUUGAGACAGAUAAAGAUGAUAGGCCACUGGACCCGCUUCCUAAAAUACUUUCAGUUGAGGUGUUAUGGAAUCCAUUUGAUGACAUUGUCCCAAGGAUAAUCGCUGCGAAGUCUUUACCAUCGUCUGAAAAGAAAGAAAUAAAGCAGAAGGUUACCAAAAAGUUGAACUUGCUUUCAUUUGGAGAAGAAGCUGAAGAAGAGGAGAAGGAACUUGUGGCUUCCAAUACUAGAAUAAAAAGUAGUCAUGAUGUUUUGAACGAUCCCCGCCUCCUGAAGGAAGGCCCUGAAACUGAUUUGAACUCAGCUGAAGGUCGAAAGGCAAAGGACGCACAAUUUAUUGUGAGAGAAGCUCUAAGCUCAAAGAGAGAGCAACAGAAAGAAUUAGGUGACACAUAUUCUGGAUCUUUAGAGUAUAGUGAUGAAGAUGAGGCUAGCUUUGAUGCACGAAUGCGCCAGCAGAUACUAAGAAGAAGGCAGGAGCUUGGAGACCUACCAACUAAGAAAGAGUUGCCUUAUGAGCUUGUAGGUUCAGGGAAACGUACAGCAUCUCCACCAAGGUCCAGUGUCGACAAACAUGAUGAAAGGCCAAAAGUGGAUAGAUUGUCGCUGAAGAAAAAAGGAAUAGGUUCAGAAGCUAGGGCUGAACGCAUGGCUAAUGCAGAUGCAGAUUUACAGUUGCUUGGAGAAGCAGAACGGGAAAGACAGCUGCAGAAGCAGAAGAAACGUAGGCGUCAAGGACAUGAAGAUGAGAUUCUAGCAAAGCUUGAGAAAUUUAAGUCGACCUUCUCAACGAAAUCCGAAGGAUCAAAUGGUGAACAUGGUGGUCGCAAGGAUGAUGAUUUGUCAGAUUGGAUGGGAGUGACGCUAAAGUUUGCUCCUGAGCCUGGAAAGAAUCAUAUGUCACGCAGUGACGACCCGAAUGACUAUGUAGUGCAUGACCCUCUUUUGGAGAAAGGAAAAGAAAAAUUCAACAAAAUGCAGGCUAAGGAAAAGCGAAGACAACGAGAAUGGGCUGGGAAAUCUCUUACUUGAACCUGUUUCUGCUCCUUUAAAUAUGACGUCGGGGGUAUCACUGUAGCUUUGAGACACUGACCAUACCUUGACAACAAGAUCAAAAAUGAUUCUAUUGAGAGUCCAGGUUUUCGUAGAUACCACAGCCCAAUGGAACAUUCUUGGUCGAUCAACAGGAGAUAGAUCUGGUUGUCAUGUGGAAAACAUCGUCCACCCAUUUUCACAUCCCCCUCACAUAAUCAAGUAUCCAUCACAUGCUGGGAAUUAAAGAAAAGCCCCAAUCUGGAUCUUGAACUUGCCAGAAAUGCACAUGGUUUCAUUUGACUAUUUGAUGUCUGCCAUAUGUGUAUCUCUUCGAUUUUCCCUAUGUUGGAAAAUUUGCUACACUACUGCUCAUAGCUGUUACCGCGUAUGAGCAGAGCAGGCCCUUAAUACAGCCUUUUUCUGGAAAGCACAUAAUAAUAUAUUACCACCUUGAAUCACUUUAAUUGGCUACUCCAACUUAUUUAUUUGUGAAGCACAUAUUCUACUAUUUAAGGUAUUUAAGGAAUUGGUCAAUGAGAACGUCAGAAAAGUGGCGUUUGGACCAGAAGAGUCUUUGUUGUCAGCUAUUUUGCAGCAAAAACAAGAAUGAGAAGAUAAAUUGAAGUUUUUAGUUCAAUUUCAAUUCAAAAAGUUCUAGUAUAGCACAAGGGGCAGGCAAAUUGUCGCAGCAAUACCAUAGACGGGCAUUAAGGUCUUUGUUUAGGGUACCUUUCCAAUUGCCCAUGGUAACUUAAUCUGACGGCACAUGAUUUAAGAUGUUGUCAAAAGUCUGUUUUUUCUUUUAGAAAAGGACUUGGGGAAUUUUAGCAGAGGGUUCUAUUGGAUUCCACUU